AAUAUUGUUAAAUAGAAACAUGAUUCUAAACCAAUCAGCACACAUAUUUUCUUUGGGCCAUUUUCUAAACCCUGUUAGUAUCUAUCUAACAAUAACAGGACAAUUUAGUUUCCAAUCUCAUCCAAAGUGCAGUGCAGGUGUGGAGACUACUUAAAUGUGUGGUGUACGGUACAACUUGACAAUAUACACAACAAGGAAAAUAAAUAAAAAAGGAAAACAGGAAAGCAGUUAUUCAAAAAAAAUGGAGUCUCAGUGCAGUUUUCUAUUUUGCAACAUUGGGUAGUAGAGCAUUAAAUCCCUAUUUGGCCAUGGGAAGUACUGCCAUGAUAAGUGUCCCAGGCUGUAGGGCUGAGUUGAAUAAAUUGAGACAGGUGUUGUCUUGUAUCCUUAUUGUUUGUUUACUGGAACAUUCAGAUAUCUUUGAAUCUGUACCACUGAUUUACAAGGGGUCAUAAAAGUGUAACUUACAACUACAAGCAGAGUGAAACUGGACACCAACCUAAACAAAGUAAUUAAUGUUUCUCCAAUCAAUUGAAAAAGGCAUGCUGACACCCAGUCACAAACAGAUUAAAGAAAAUCAUUUAGUGACCACUAAGUAAUUUGUAUUUCAGACUCUCGCAAAUUCACUCAAAUAUUCCAGAGAAACAUAUAUUUUCACAAGUGAGAUUACUGUCAAAAUUUAAGACUUCUCCUAAGGGAAAGUUUGUUUUGGGAUGACGUAUGUAGCUAAUUGGACCUUCAUGAAGCAAUGUGUGAUGAACAUAAGCUUACAUUUGUACAAUAUUGACUUGAAUUUCUUGAUAAUGUACAGUUUUCAAUAAUUAUUCCAUUAUAAGCUCGGGAAAUUGUAACGCUGUUAAUCGCUCAUCUAUUUAAUUUACACGAAACGUGGGAAAUUAUAACAAGUUAGCUUAAUUCCCCAAAACAACAUCAGUUUGGCGAUUUAAUCAGUGUUCCGUAAGAAAUGACUUGGCAAUAUAAAUGAAUCAACUAUUUCCACCAAGUAUACAAUCUUAUUUAUCGCUAGGUGUGAUUGUCUCGUGAUGAGGCAUAUGCUUCAUCAAAAACGGCGAAUCACUUACUUGCAACGUAGUUAAAUGUUUAUCGUUGAACUUGUCUUGUACAUAACGAAGCAUGAGGGAAGUUUUCCCAACGCAGCCCUCUCCUAACAGAACCACUUUGAACUGGUUUUUCCGCGACGCCCCAGCCAUCAGUAAGAUUUUUUAUCAGUUCGCAAGCUUAACUCUUCACCAGAUGCGCAACGCAAGAGGAUUUUUUGCUGUUUCGAGGUUAUUUCAGCUAGGUGCCGGACGCCAUUUUCAGUCUUAAAACACUGAAAUCGUCCUCGUGACAUUGACGUCAACUUGUCGAUCGUCACGGAAAUAAGUUCGUUGUGCUUCGGAGAAAACUCGUAAGGAAAAGCGUACCUUUUGCUACAAUUCGAUUUGGCUUACAUGAGUGUGACAAUGCAAUUCGUUUCUUCGCUGAUCGCAGGCUCAACAGGUAAACCUUCAAAGUUUGAAAGAAGGGAGAUCACACGUGUUUGAGUGGAAAAUUGUACAAAAAUGGUUUCACUCAACCCAGUUCAGAUUCUCAACCAAGGUGCGGAAGAGGAGCGAGCGGAGACAGCUCGUCUUUCGUCUUUUGUUGGUGCCAUUGCCAUAGGAGACCUCAUCAAGAGCACUCUUGGUCCAAAAGGAAUGG
rnacentral:lncRNA from 1 species